rnacentral:rRNA from 1 species
AACGAACGCUGGCGGCAUGCCUAACACAUGCAAGUCGAACGAGACCUUCCGGUCUAGUGGCGCACGGGUGCGUAACGCGUGGGAACCUGCCCUUAGGUUCGGAAUAACUCCCCGAAAGGGGUGCUAAUACCGGAUAAUGUCUUCGGACCAAAGAUUUAUCGCCUUUGGAUGGGCCCGCGUUGGAUUAGCUAGUUGGUAGGGUAAAAGCCUACCAAGGCGACGAUCCAUAGCUGGUCUGAGAGGAUGAUCAGCCACACUGGGACUGAGACACGGCCCAGACUCCUACGGGAGGGAGCAGUGGGGAAUAUUGGACAGUGGGCGAAAGGCUGAUCCAGCAAGGCCGCGUGAGUGAUGAAGGCCUUGGGGUUGUAAAGCUCUUUUACCCGGGAUGAUAAUGACGGUACCGGGAGAAUAAGCUCCGGCUAACUACGUG